rnacentral:rRNA from 1 species
UACGUAGGGUGCGAGCGUUGUCCGGAAUUACUGGGCGUAAAGCGUGCGCAGGCGGUUCGUUAUGUCCGAUGUGAAAGCCCCGAGCUCAACUUGGGAAUGGCAUUGGAAACUGGCGGGCUGGAGUGUGGCAGAGGGGGGUGGAAUUCCACGUGUAGCAGUGAAAUGCGUAGAGAUGUGGAGGAACACCGAUGGCGAAGGCAGCCCCCUGGGCCAGCACUGACGCUCAGGCACGAAAGCGUGGGGAGCAAACAGG